AUGAGAGGCAUUUUCUGGAAUAGCAGAGGUCUUAGAGACUUGGCUAAAAGGAGGUUUCUAGCGGAUGCUUCUCUUGAACAUCAUUUAGAUUUUAUUGCUUUGUCCGAGACUGGAAGAAGCAAUUUCACUAAUCAAUUUCUUGCCACUUUGUCUGGGGGGGUAGAUUUUGAUUGGCAUUGCCUCCCACCUCGGGGAAGAUCCGGCGGGGUUUUACUUGGGGUUAAGUGUGAAACGUUGGAGGUUCGGAGCGUAGUUAUGGGCGAGUUCGCUGUCAAGUUUCGGGUUAGAUCUAAGGCCGAUGGGUUUGAUUGGGCUUUGGUGGCAGUUUACGGAGCUGCACAACCAGAACUCAAACCCAGAUUUCUUGGCAGAUUUGGUGCGCAUCUGUGGUAA
rnacentral:rRNA from 1 species